GCGGGUUGUGAUGUACCUGGUCAACGCACUACUGUCGCAGGGCCUUGGUGUACGGGAAACCGGUGCGGUACCGGUGCGGCCCUCGCCACUGUGAUCGGGAAGUCCGGCUCCACUCCCUGGGAAACCACCCCGGGAAAGCCACUGGAACACCGCGGGAGACCGCGGGGACCGGGAAGGCGGAGUCGCGGCGGCAUACCCCUUGCCAUCCCGUCAGCCAGGAGACCGGCCAAGGCGCGUUGUCCAUC
rfam:Streptomyces sp. CB03234 scaffold4, whole genome shotgun sequence.